GACGAACGCUGGCGGCGUGCCUAAUACAUGCAAGUUGAGCGCUGAAGGUUGGUACUUGUACCCACUGGAUGAGCAGCGAACAGGUGAGUAACGCGUGGGGAAUCUGCCUUUGAGCGGGGGACAACAUUUGGAAACGAAUGCUAAUACCGCAUAAAAACUUUAAACACAAGUUUUAAGUUUGAAAGAUGCAAUUGCAUCACUCAAAGAUGAUCCCGCGUUGUAUUAGCUAGUUGGUGAGGUAAAGGCUCACCAAGGCGAUGAUACAUAGCCGACCUGAGAGGGUGAUCGGCCACAUUGGGACUGAGACACGGCCCAAACUCCUACGGGAGGCAGCAGUAGGGAAUCUUCGGCAAUGGACGAAAGUCUGACCGAGCAACGCCGCGUGAGUGAAGAAGGUUUUCGGAUCGUAAAACUCUGUUGGUAGAGAAGAACGUUGGUGAGAGUGGAAAGCUCAUCAAGUGACGGUAACUACCCAGAAAGGGACGGCUAACUACGUG
rnacentral:rRNA from 1 species